AAUAUUGGACAAUGGGCGAAAGCCUGAUCCAGCCAUGCCGCGUGUGUGAAGAAGGUCUUCGGAUUGUAAAGCACUUUAAGUUGGGAGGAAGGGGUUGAAGCUAAUACCUUCAAUCUUUGACGUUACCAACAGAAUAAGCACCGGCUAACUCUGUGCCAGCAGCCGCGGUAAUACAGAGGGUGCAAGCGUUAAUCGGAAUUACUGGGCGAAAAGGCGGCGAGGUGGUUUCAUAAAGUUGAAAUUGAAUUCCCCGGGCUUAACCGGGAACUGCCUUCAAAACUGGCCAGCUUAGAUUACGUUGAAGGGUAUGGGAAUUCCUGUGUUACCGUGGAAAGGGUUAGUAUUAGGAAGGACAUCCGUUGCGAAAGCCACCUACCGGACUUGUUCUUGACCUUGAGGGGCAAAACGGGGGGGGCCAAACGG
rnacentral:rRNA from 1 species